rnacentral:rRNA from 1 species
CCUACGGGCGGCAGCAGUGAGGAAUAUUGGUCAAUGGACGAGAGUCUGAACCAGCCAAGUAGCGUGAAGGAUGACUGCCCUAUGGGUUGUAAACUUCUUUUAUAUGGGAAUAAAAUGUUCCACGUGUGGGAUUUUGUAUGUACCAUAUGAAUAAGGAUCGGCUAACUCCGUGCCAGCAGCCGCGGUAAUACGGAGGAUCCGAGCGUUAUCCGGAUUUAUUGGGUUUAAAGGGAGCGUAGGUGGAUUGUUAAGUCAGUUGUGAAAGUUUGCGGCUCAACCGUAAAAUUGCAGUUGAAACUGGCAGUCUUGAGUACGGUAGAGGUGGGCGGAAUUCGUGGUGUAGCGGUGAAAUGCUUAGAGAUCACGAAGAACUCCGAAUGCGAAGGCAGUUCACUGGACUGCAACUGACACUGAGGCUCGAAAGUGUGGGUAUCAAACAGGAUUAGAUACCCUGGUAGUC